CGCUGAAACAGGCCCGCUGAUUCCACCUUACUUCGCUGAAUCAGCGGAGAGGAAGCCACCACAAGCUGGCACAGGUGGGAGAAAACUAAAGGGCGGGGCACAAACGUCUAUCUAAAAAGAAUCCUUGUCACCUGCAGAGGAGUCACUGUGUCGUCUCACCAGAAAGCCACAGUGUUAAACGAAGUAUCUGUAUACCACCAAUCUAUAACAGUGGAGCCUCCCAAUGUCGUCAAUGUGCUUUGAUCUGUGACAGUACGAACCAGGCUGACUCUGGGAGGGGUCGACUGAAGGAAAAACUUCAUUCGCUGCCACUCUGAUGUCUCCAGCUUCAUAUAAAACAAUAACACAGACCAGCCCGGCAUUAACCGCCGCCACGGCCCAUUGUAAACCCCCAAUGGAAACGCCAUGUAAUGUGUGUGAGUGUCACAGCAGGGCAGGGCCAUUACGUCACCCCGGUGUAAGCCGUCAGAUGUGUUACUGCAUGCAGAUGUUGCCAUAGGUACACACAGACGCCUGCUCUCCAUCGCAGCAACAGCAGCAGCAGCACUUCUUUCUAUUUUUCAUGAGCCCGGGUGGUUGCCAGGGUUUUUGUUUCCAUGGCCACGCUGCAGUCUGAUGCAACAAAACCCAGCCAAC